GAUGAACGCUAGCGGCAGGCUUAAUACAUGCAAGUCGUGGGGCAGCAUGAGUAGCAAUACUUGAUGGCGACCGGCAAACGGGUGAGGAACACGUACACAACCUUCCUUCAAGCGGGGAAUAGCCCAGAGAAAUUUGGAUUAAUACCCCAUAAUAUAUUUGAUAAGGCAUCUUAUUAAUAUUAAAGCUUCGGCACUUGAUGAUGGGUGUGCGGCUGAUUAGAUAGUUGGCGGGGUAACGGCCCACCAAGUCUACGAUCAGUAGCUGAUGUGAGAGCAUGAUCAGCCACACGGGCACUGAGACACGGGCCCGACUCCUACGGGAGGCAGCAGUAAGGAAUAUUGGACAAUGGACGAAAGUCUGAUCCAGCCAUGCCGCGUGAAGGAUUAAGGUCCUCUGGAUUGUAAACUUCUUUAUAUGGGACGAAAAAGGG
rnacentral:rRNA from 1 species